rnacentral:rRNA from 1 species
CCCGAUUCCGUUUUUCGAUAUAGCGAUUCUAGUAGUCAAGUUGUUUGGGAUUGCAGCUUAAAUGGGAGGUAAAUUUCUCCUAAGGCUAAAUAACGGCGAGAGACCGAUAGCGAACAAGUACCGUGAGGGAAAGAUGAAAAGAACUUUGAAAAGAGAGUUAAACAGUACGUGAAAUUGUUGAAAGGGAAACGAUUGAAGCCAGUCGUACCUUCGGGUAAUCAGCCUUUCGGGUGCGAUUAUGUGGAGUGUGAGGAGCUUAAACACCUUCAUGUUUUGUAUAUUCGUACUCUUGGGGGUACUUGCCCGUGGGGUUGGUUAACAUCAAUUUUGGGGGUCAUAAAAUGACUGGAGAAAGGGGACCCUCCAAAAA